UUUUUAAUGAGGGAGACUCUUCAGAGUUCCAAGCUUGGCUUAGGAUCUCCUAAAGUCAAGCUUGAGGGGGAGUGUUGAACUGAAGAGAAGAUAGAGCUUGUACAAUAAUAGGGCAAGCUCUAGAAGAUGUCAAGACGAGUUCAAUCAAGCUUCAGAAGUGUUCUGAAGUAGUUAUCUUGGGAAGUUAAGUCUAGGGAAGACUAAGACUGAUCAUGUGAAGGCUUUGGAGGAGUUAGAGAGAAGAUGGUCCAAGGUGCAAUUAUAGGGCGGCCUUGUACGGCCUGGUACGGCCAAGGGCGAACCAAAGAAGAUGGUGGAUCGACCAAAGAAGUGAGAAAGAGUGUUGGGCAAAUAUAGGGCGAGUGGUACGGACAGGAGGUCCGUACCAUCGACCGUACUGCCAAUCAUCUCGCCCACACAUCCGGUUUAAGCAAUGUUGAAGAAGUGCAAAGUCUGGGCGUGUUUAUCUUGGCUAUGAGGACCGUUGGGAGCUACAGGAAACAAAGGGAAUAUCCCUUAGGAUCAGAGUGAUCCAAGAGACAGGCUGGAAAGAGAAAAGCACUUUACCUUUCCAGCCACCUUUCCACAUGAGUCCAUCUUAGCCUUUCAUUCAAAAUGGAUCAAUCCCACCUUCCAUUCAGUCAAGGCACGACCACACUUUCCAGCUAGCAUCAAGACCAGUCUACUCUCAUCCUAGCCAUCCAUUCUAUCAUUUAUUUACAACCUUAGGAUGUAGGGUUUAUGAGUGUAAUGUAAAGGCAUAUAAAAGCCUUGUAU
rnacentral:lncRNA from 1 species